AGUGAACGCUGGCGGCGUGCCUAAUACAUGCAAGUCGAACGGAGUGGCGCACGGGUGAGUAAUAUAUAGCUAAUCUGCCCCUUGCUGGAGGAUAACAGUUAGAAAUGACUGCUAAUACUCCAUAGCUAGGGAUGAGUCUAUAUCGUAUCAGCUAGUCGGUGGGGUAACGGCCUACCGAGGCUAUGACGCGUAAGUGGUCUGAGAGGUUGAUCAGUCACAUUGGAACUGAGACACGGUCGCAGCUCCUACGGGUAGUAGCAGAAGGGAAUAUUGCUCAAUCGGGGAAGCCCUGACGCAGCAACGCCGCGUGGAGGAUGACACUUUUCGGAGCAUAAACUCCUUUUGUUAGUGAAGCGGUACCUAACGAAUAAGCACCGGCUAACUCCGUGCCAGCAGCCGCGGUAAUAC
rnacentral:rRNA from 1 species